ACAAUAAUGAUAAUUUCUCUGCUCUCCUUUGAUCAUCUCUUAUUCAUCUUUCUUCUUCUUAUUCUUAGGGUUCAUCAAAAAUCUUUCUUCAAUUCUUCUUAUUCUCUAAAUCAUAUAAAAUUACAUGGUAUCAGAACUUCAAGUAAGAGAUUUUUCUGCUUGAUUCUGAGUCUUCCGCAAGCGUGUAAUAUUCAAGAGUGUAUUCGUCUCAAGUUUUUGUUAAUCGAAGAAUCCAAAAAUGGUGAAAAAUUCUGCUGAAUCCCAACCUCGAACCACUGGAAACAAUGGUGGAUCUUCAAAUGUAGCUGGAAUCGAUCACAACCAUCCCUUGUUCUUGCAUGCAUCCGAUAUAUAAUGUUUGAAGAAGGUGUCUUUCCUUUCAAACAUCAGUCAGAUGAGUUUGUUCUAAUCUUCAACUAUACUGGCACAAAUCAUGUCCAUGUAGACUUGGAAGAUCAAAGCAGUACUUCUCAACAAACUGCAUAUCAACAUGAGCGACAUGAUCAAGGCUGAAUUCACAAUAGACCUGCAACUAACAAAUGUACAUGAAGAAGGUUCAAUAGCACAAGUACCUCAAGAACAAAUCAUGAUGUCAGGAAGAGGAACUAAGCCACCCUUGUGGAUGAAAAAAUUUGUUUCUAUAAAUAUUCACGAAGGACCAUACAGUGUUGACAAGUAUCCGUUUUAUGAGAAUAUUACCUCAACCUACAAGGCAUAUCUAUCUAAGAUGUCACAUAUUACAGAACCACAAUCCUACAUAGAAGCAGCUUCUGAUCCUAAAUGGAUAGAAGCAAUGAAUGUUGAGAUUCAAGCUUUGCAAGAUAAUCAGACAUGGAAAGUAGUUGACUUGCCAAAGGGAAAAAAACCUAUUGGAUGUAAGUGGAUAUUCAAAGUCAAGUAUAAAUCCACUGGAGACAUUGAGAGAAACAAAGCAAGAUUAGUGGCAAAAAAGGUAUGGCCAAAGAGAAGACAUAGACUAUCAAGAGACAUUCAGUCCUAUGGUGAAGAUGAAAACAGUCAGGACAGUCUUGGCUAUUACUGCACAAAAUAAUUGGUAUAUUCAUCAGAUGGAUGUCUUCAAUGCAUUCCUUCAAGGUGAUUUAAAUGAUGAAAUUUAUAUGCAAUUACCUCAGAGAUUUAAAUCAGGGGGAAACAAAAUAUGUAGACUCACUAAAUCUCUUUAUGUUUGAAACAAGCCUCUAGACAAUGGAAUGCAAAAUUGUCUAAAGGAUUGGUCAAAUUUCAGUUUAAAAACAAACAACAACAGGAUCUAUAUUUGUGCUUGUCUAUUUAGAUGAUACGCUAAUCACAGGCAUCAAUAUUCAACUAACUGAAGAAACAAAAGACAGAUGAUAUGCUGAUUACAGGCAGCAGUAUUAAGAUCAUUGAAGAACAAAAGACAAAUUAAAGCAAACUUUCAAGAUGAAAGACCUGGGGAACUAAAGUAGUUUCUAGGCAUUGAGUUUGCUAGAUCAGAACAAGAGAUACUAAUGCAUCAAAGAAAAUAUGCAUUUGAGCUCAUCUAUAAAACUGGUUUGGGAAAUGUAAAAUCAACAGUAACUCCUAUUGAUAACAACUUCAAGUUGACCUCAAAACAAUAUGAUGAACACAUCAAAUCAGAAACUCCAGAAGGUAAUCAUCAAGUUGAUCAGAAUGCUUAUCAGAGAUUGAUGGGAAAACUUCUAUAUCUUACUAUGACCAGGCCUGGCAUCUCAUUUGGUGUGCAAACCUUGAGUCAGUUUCUUCAACAACCAAAAAAGACUCACAUGGUGGCAGUCCUGAGAAUUGUUAGAUGCAUUAAAAUCCAACCUAGUCAAGGAGUCCUAUUAUCCAGUGCCCAAGAUAACAACAUCACAGCUUAUUGUGAUGCUGACUGGGCAGCAUGUCCCCUUACAAGGAGGUCUAUAAUUGGCUACUUUGCCAAACUUGGAAGUUCUAUAAUAUCUUGAAAAUCAAAGAAGCAGUCUACUGUAUCAGAAGUUCAGCAGAAGCUAAAUACAGAAGCAUAGCCACUACUGUAACUAAAAUUAUUUGGUUACUAGGCUUGAUGAAGGAUCUAGGUUUUGAAAUUCAGAAACUAGUCAAUGUUUUCACAUACAAGAAAGCAUCAAUUCUUCUAGCUGCCAAAGACAGGAAAGCAUCAGUCUACUCUGAGAGAACAAAGCACAUCGAGAUCGAUUGUCAUCUUAUAAGGGAGAAGAUUGUACAAGGAUUAGUGUGUACCAAAUACAUUCCAACACAACAGCAACCAGUUGAUAGCUUACCAAGGGACUAACCAAAGUACAACAUCAAUUUCUUAGUUCCAAGCUUGGAGUCUAAAACAUUUUUGCACUUCCAAGCUUGAGGGGGAGUAUUGAUACUAGUAAUGUUAAAACUAGCUAAGUAGUUAUCUAGAGGGUAAUUCUGUAAUUUACUAUU